GGGGAUAUAGCUCAGUGGGAGAGCACUUGUCUAACAUAUACUAGAUUUUGGGUUCAAGUCCCACUCAACCCU
rnacentral:tRNA from 1 species